rnacentral:rRNA from 1 species
CAGAGGUCGUCAAGCGUUGUUCGGAUUCAUUGGGCGUUAAAGGGUGUGUAGGUGGCGCGCUAAGUCGGGUAGUGAAAUUUCGGAGCUUAACUCCGAAACUGCUAUUCGAUACUGGCGUGCUUGAGGACUGGAGAGGAGACUGGAAUUUACGGUGUAGCAGUGAAAUGCGUAGAUAUCGUAAGGAAGACCAGUGGCGAAGGCGGGUCUCUGGACAGUUCCUGACACUGAGACACGAAGGCCAGGGGAGCAAACGGGAUUAGAUACCCCGGUAGUCCUGGCAGUAAACGGUGCACGUUUGGUGUGGGAGGAUUCGACCCCUUCUGCGCCGGAGCUAACGCGUUAAACGUGCCGCCUGGGGAGUACGGUCGCAAGAUUA